rnacentral:rRNA from 1 species
GGGCUAAUGCCGGAUAACAUGUUGAACCGCAUGGUUCUACAGUGAAAGACGGUCUUGCUGUCACUUAUAGAUGGACCCGCGCCGUAUUAGCUAGUUGGUGGGGUAACGGCCUACCAAGGCGACGAUACGUAGCCGACCUGAGAGGGUGAUCGGCCACACUGGAACUGAGACACGGUCCAGACUCCUACGGGAGGCAGCAGUAGGGAAUCUUCCGCAAUGGGCGAAAGCCUGACGGAGCAACGCCGCGUGAGUGAUGAAGGUCUUCGGAUCGUAAAGCUCUGUUGUUAGGGAAGAACAAAUGUGUAAGUAACUGUGCACAUCUUGACGGUACCUAACCAGAAAGCCACGGCUAACUACGUGCCAGCAGCCGCGGUAAUACGUAGGUGGCAAGCGUUAUCCGGAAUUAUUGGGCGUAAAGCGCGCGUAGGCGGUUUUUUAAGUCUGAUGUGAAAGCCCACGGCUCAACCGUGGAGGGUCAUUGGAAACUGGAAAACUUGAGUGCAGAAGAGGAAAGUGGAAUUCCAUGUGUAGCGGUGAAAUGCGCAGAGAUAUGGAGGAACACCAGUGGCGAAGGCGGCUUUCUGGUCUGCAACUGACGCUGAUGUGCGAAAGCGUGGGGAUCAAACAGGAUUAGAUACCCUGGUAGUCCACGCCGUAAACGAUGAGUGCUAAGUGUUAGGGGGUUUCCGCCCCUUAGUGCUGCAGCUAACGCAUUAAGCACUCCGCCUGGGGAGUACGGUCGCAAGACUGAAACUCAAAGGAAUUGACGGGGACCCGCACAAGCGGUGGAGCAUGUGGUUUAAUUCGAAGCAACGCGAAGAACCUUACCAAAUCUUGACAUCCUUUGACCGCUCUAGAGAUAGAGUUUUCCUCUUCGGAGGACAAAGUGACAGGUGGUGCAUGGUUGUCGUCAGCUCGUGUCGUGAGAUGUUGGGUUAAGUCCCGCAACGAGCGCAACCCUUGAACUUAGUUGCCAUCAUUCAGUUGGGCACUCUAAGUUGACUGCCGGUGACAAACCGGAGGAAGGUGGGGAUGACGUCAAAUCAUCAUGCCCCUUAUGAUUUGGGCUACACACGUGCUACAAUGGACAAUACAAAGGGCAGCGAAACCGCGAGGUCAAGCAAAUCCCAUAAAGUUGUUCUCAGUUCGGAUUGUAGUCUGCAACUCGACUACAUGAAGCUGGAAUCGCUAGUAAUCGUAGAUCAGCAUGCUACGGUGAAUACGUUCCCGGGUCUUGUACACACCGCCCGUCACACCACGAGAGUUUGUAACACCCGAAGCCGGUGGAGUAACCAUUUUGGAGCUAGCCGUCGAAGGUGGGACAAAUGAUUGGGGUGAAGUCGUAACAAGGUAGCCGUAUCGGAAGGUGCGGCUGGAUCACCUCCUUU